UUGGAGGGCAAGUCUGGUGCCAGCAGCCGCGGUAAUUCCAGCUCCAAUAGCGUAUAUUAAAGUUGUUGCAGUUAAAAAGCUCGUAGUUGAAUUUCGAGAUCAGUACGCUGGUCGUGCCUUCGGUAUGCACUGGUGUCUCUGGUUUCUCCCUUCUGAAGAACCGUCAUGUCAUUAAGUUGAUGUGGCGGGGAAUCAGGACUGUUACUUUGAAAAAAUUAGAGUGUUUAAAGCAGGCUCGCGCUUGAAUACAUUAGCAUGGAAUAAUGAAAUAGGACGUUUGACCCUAUUUUGUUGGUUUCUAGGAUCGACGUAAUGAUUAAUAGGAAUAGUUGGGGGCAUUAGUAUUCAAUUGUCAGAGGUGAAAUUCUUGGAUUUAUUGAAGACUAACUACUACGAAAGCAUUUGCCAAGGAUGUUUUCAUUAAUCAAGAACGAAAGUUAGGGGAUCGAAGACGAUCAGAUACCGUCGUAGUCUUAACCAUAAACUAUGCCGACUAGGGAUCGGAUGAUGUUAAUUUUAAUGACUCAUUCGGCGCCUUACGGGAAAC
rnacentral:rRNA from 1 species